rnacentral:rRNA from 1 species
AUUGAACGCUGGCGGCAGGCCUAACACAUGCAAGUCGAGCGGCAGCACUUCGGGUGGCGAGCGGCGGACGGGUGAGUAACACGUAGGAAUCUACCUAGUAGUGGGGGAUAGCCCGGGGAAACUCGGAUUAAUACCGCAUACGCUCUACGGAGGAAAGGGGGCUUCGGCUCUCGCUAUUAGAUGAGCCUGCGUCGGAUUAGCUAGUUGGUGAGGUAAAGGCUCACCAAGGCGACGAUCCGUAACUGGUCUGAGAGGAUGAUCAGUCACACUGGAACUGAGACACGGUCCAGACUCCUACGGGAGGCAGCAGUGGGGAAUAUUGGACAAUGGGGGAAACCCUGAUCCAGCCAUGCCGCGUGUGUGAAGAAGGCCUCGGUUGUAAG